CCGAUCGGCGCGAGAAUCCGCUGCUCACCUUGCCACAUCCAGUGCUCUUCGGAUCACGAUGUUCUCGCGCGCUUGAGCUUCGAAUCCGUGUGCUCCAUCAAACCUUCGACAACUUGGAGCCUUGGAGCUUUCGGUUUUCAUUGAGUGUGACAAAUUCUGGGUAUGGUCCUUCGUGGUGUCCAUGCGCAAUUCAGGAUAACUUGCAAAGAGCCGCAUGAGAAGCGCAUCCAUAUGAAGAGAGCCAAAUGUAUUAAAGCGAUUAAUGAGAUCGUUUUGACUUACUCUUGUAACCGGAAAUCAUGUUCAUUUUCAGGAAAAAAAAUACGUGUAUAAAUUCAAGUUUCCUUUUCA